rnacentral:rRNA from 1 species
UACGAAGGGGGCUAGCGUUGCUCGGAAUCACUGGGCGUAAAGCGUGCGCAGGCGGUUAUAUAAGACAGUUGUGAAAUCCCCGGGCUCAACCUGGGAACUGCAUCUGUGACUGUAUAGCUAGAGUACGGUAGAGGGGGAUGGAAUUCCGCGUGUAGCAGUGAAAUGCGUAGAUAUGCGGAGGAACACCGAUGGCGAAGGCAAUCCCCUGGACCUGUACUGACGCUCAUGCACGAAAGCGUGGGGAGCAACAGG